UACGGGGGGGAGCAAGCGUUGUUCGGAUUUACUGGGCGUAAAGGGCGCGUAGGCGGCUUGACAAGUCACUUGUGAAAUCUCCGGGCUUAACUCGGAACGGCCAAGUGAAACUGUCAUGCUAGAGUGCAGAAGGGGCAAUCGGAAUUCUUGGUGUAGCGGUGAAAUGCGUAGAUAUCAAGAGGAACACCUGAGGUGAAGACGGGUUGCUGGGCUGACACUGACGCUGAGGCGCGAAAGCGUGGGGAGCGAACAGG
rnacentral:rRNA from 1 species